UUGGAGGGCAAGUCUGGUGCCCGCAGCCGCGGUAAUUCCAGCUCCAAUAGCGUAUAUUAAAGUUGUUGCAGUUAAAAAGCUCGUAGUUGGACUUCGGGGUUUACCCAUUGGUCAGGCUUAAUUGUCUGCACUGGUGAGAUGAAUCUCUACCUUCUGAGGAACUUUCAUGCCAUUUAUUUGGUGUGAUGGGAAAUCAGGACUGUUACUUUGAAAAAAUUAGAGUGUUUAAAGCAGGCUAACGUCUGAAUACAUUAGCAUGGAAUAAUGAAAUAGGACGGACUGAUUCUAUUUCGUUGGUUUCUAGGAUCACCGUAAUGAUUAAUAGGGAUAGUUGGGGGCAUUAGUAUUCAAUUGUCAGAGGUGAAAUUCUUGGAUUUAUUGAAGACUAACUACUGCGAAAGCAUUUGCCAAGGAUGUUUUCAUUAAUCAAGAACGAAAGUUAGGGGAUCGAAGACGAUCAGAUACCGUCGUAGUCUUAACCAUAAACUAUGCCGACUAGGGAUCGGACGAAGUUAAUUUUAUAAUGACGCGUUCGGCACCUUACGGGAAACCAAAG
rnacentral:rRNA from 1 species